rnacentral:rRNA from 1 species
AACGAACGCUGGCGGCAGGCCUAAAACAUGCAAGUCGAACGAACCGCAAGGUUAGUGGCGCACGGGUGAGUAACGCGUGGGAAUAUGCCCUUCACUACGGAACAACGUCUGGAAACGGACGCUAAUACCGUAUAAUGACUCCGGUCCAAAGAUUUAUCGGUGAAGGAUUAGCCCGCGUUAGAUUAGGUAGUUGGUGGGGUAAUGGCCUACCAAGCCUACGAUCUAUAGGGGGUCUGAGAGGAUGAUCCCCCACACUGGGACUGAGACACGGCCCAGACUCCUACGGGAGGCAGCAGUUAGGAAUAUUGGACAAUGGGCGCAAGCCUGAUCCAGCCAUGCCGCGUGUGUGACGAAGGCCUUAGGGUUGUAAAGCACUUUCGUCCGCGAAGAUAAUGACAGUAACGGAAGAAGAAGCUCCGGCUAAAUUCGUGCCAGCCGCCGCAGUAACAC